rnacentral:tRNA from 1 species
GAAAUAUGAUGAACAAAUGAAAGCUGCUAACUUAUCAUUUUAGCGGUUAAAAUCCGUUAAUAUUUCU